rnacentral:lncRNA from 1 species
AGCAGGCGCGUAGCAACCCGUACGCAAAAACGCAGUUGCGUACACAUCGAAAAUUUGACAAAAAUAAAAAUAUGGUAAAUCUAGUUAGAAUAAAACUUAAGUAAUAGAAUUAAUUAUAAAGUGUUAUAAAAAUAUGUUAAUAGUCACUUUGUAACUAUAUUCCGUUCCGGAAACCAGUUUUCUCUUUACAUUUUCGGGACCAGCAUCGUGAUUGUGCUGCUGAUGCAAACAAUUAAAAUAGCUGAGUCCUCGGGGUUUCAGAAUACAAUAAGUGCGUCUACUAUGCCUCCUUACCCUGACAUCUUUUCUGAAGAUUUCAAAAUGACUGAUGAAAUAAAACGUGAUGUUCUAUUAAGGGUAAUAUUUUUGCAACCUAUUCGCCGUUUUUUU